AACGAACCGUGCGAACGUUGUUCGGAAUCACUGGGCUUAAAGGGCGCGUAGGCGGACUGCCAAGUCCGGGGUGAAAUCUUUCGGCUUAACCGGAAAAUAGCCUCGGAGACUGGCGGUCUAGAGGGAGGUAGGGGCAGCUGGAACUUCCGGUGGAGCGGUGAAAUGCGUUGAUAUCGGAAGGAACGCCGGUGGCGAAAGCGAGCUGCUGGACCUCUACUGACGCUGAGGCACGAAAGCGUGGGGAGCAAACAGG
rnacentral:rRNA from 1 species